UCCCUGGUGGUCCAGUGGUUAAGACUCUGCGUUUCCGCUGCAGAUGGUAUGGGUUCAAUUCCUGGUCAGGGAA
rnacentral:tRNA from 1 species